CCCUUAGAUGUUCGGGGCCGCACGCGCGCUACACUGAAGGAAUCAGCACGUCUUUCUCCUUGUCCGAAAGGACUGGGUAACCCGCUGAACCUCCUUCGUGCUAGGGAUUGGGGCUUGUAAUUCUUCCCCAUGAACGAGGAAUUCCCAGUAAGCGCGAGUCAUAAGCUCGCGUUGAUUACGUCCCUGCCCUUUGUACACACCGCCCGUCGCUACUACCGAUUGGAUGGUUUAGUGAGAUCCUCGGAUUGGUCCCGGCGCGGCCUCUGGUCGUGCCGGAGUGCCGAAAAGAAUGUCGAACUCGAUCAUCUAGAGGAAGUAAAAGUCGUAACA
rnacentral:rRNA from 1 species